UGUCCAUUCUUUCCAGACACAGGUGCUGUAGUUAUAGGCAUUGAUCUUUCUUUUUCUCUGAUAAAAAAAAUCAUAUUAAUAUGACAUCCUGCAGAUCUCUGAUGUUUACAUAGUAUCAGCACAGGGAAAUACUACUUUCAGUUUGAUACAUAAAGCCCUCCUUGUCUCUUGUGUCUUUUGUCUGUAGGCUAUUAUGCAUGUGACUAAAGCCAUGCAUGACUUAAGCAAAUGUUUGAAUAGGGUUCUUGUGUAGUAGGACUGUAUAAGCCAUUAGGCAUACUCUCUUUAACGUGGUGAUGAAAACAUUAUGGUACAUUUGGUCACACAAAGUAGAGUAAAAUUGCUUUUGUAGCAGCAGAAUAAACAGCAUUCUAAUCUGUGGGGGCUUUUUAUUGUGCACGUGUGUGUGCGCUGCAUACUUUUGGCAAAAUUAUCAAGCAGGACUGAACAUGAAAAGUGUUGAAGUUACUGGAGUUGUGGAGUGAAAGCUGGGCUGAAGAGAGAAAAAAAAUAUUGCUUUUUUCAUUCUGAAAUUUGAAAUCGACAUUAUUCUGUCAUAUUUGUGAUCUGAGCUUGAAAUGUGUUAAUUGACAUGUGAGGCAGUUGCUAACUAUCUUUGUCAUCUAUAAAGCCUUUUGUAAGGGCAUUGUUUUUCUUUCUUUCUCUAUAUGUGGUUAAUACUGGAAUAGGGACUUUAUUUUUUGCUGUGGGAAUGUGAAAAACACUGGAAGCUGCUCUCUGCCAAGUUAUUUCCCCAAGGAUCUGCUUUACAUUCUGACAAUCAAUGACCUGUCAGGUGUAGUUAUGCACCAUAGCAAUGAUAUGAGGUCAAUCAGAUGAAAGCAAGAUAUUUUAAAAUCAUCUGUUGAUUUUCUAUGCUGCAAGACCAGCAUGUGAAUCAUGUCAGCAACUAUACUCCAUGUUUCAAAAACAUGUAAAAGUGUUACAGUUCUCCAAACAGAAGAAGCAGAGAUCUGGAUCCACAGUGCAGUGCUGGACAAAGAACACAAAGCAAGGAAGUACCAGAUCCAGUUGCUUUUCUCCUUCCUGCUGCCCCAGAGCCUUGCUGUAUGGCAGAUCGGGUUGCUCCAAACCAGCUGGCAAAGAAAUGCAUCCAUGUGACAGCCGGACAGAAUGGCAAAGGGGAGGUGGAGGCUGGAGACGACCCCUCUCCAGGGGAGCAGUUUCUGGGCAAGCUGCAUCCUGCCCUCAGAGUGCCCCUGCCCGCAGUGAGGGUCUGAAGCUUCUCUGCCAGGGGAGACCCUCCCUGCAGGAGGGUGGAAAGCACUGGGGGCCACAUCCUCAGCUGCUGCUCUGCUCCAGUGGGACAGUGAAAGAUGGUCCUGCUUUCAUCAGUAUUUUCAGCAGCUGCAAAUGGCAAAAGAACAUUGCUCUGAGAGGGAGAAGGUGUGCUCCAGGCAUUGACCCUGCAUGGACUGUUUGCAGCAGCAGAAGGCAGCGGGGAAUUCAGCAGUGCUGUUCUCACAAGUAGAGCCCUUCCUUUGCCAAGAUGUCAUGUUCCCUUACGCUGACACGCCCAGAAUGUGGCUGGAGACUCCUGGUGUAGAUUGAUGUUGGUCUACUGAAGGGAAGCAGCUGAGACCCACUUUCCACCAGGAGAAAACUGCUGUAUCCAAAGGAACACCAAGGACAUGACUUAUCUGCUUAUGCCAGUUUCUUGCUGACAGAAGUCAUGGCUGACCAAUAAACCUUGGUACUUUUGAAAGGGAUUUCCUCUUUUGAGCUUGUUGAAUGAUUUUGAGGCAACAUCAGGCUAAGAAGACUUCUGUUAUCUGUCAUAAUUUUCCUUAAUCAUUUUUGGGGCGUUUGAUUGAUCUUAAGAUAUUAGUUUUUUUGUAUAUAAUAAGGUUAAAAUGGACAAAACAUGGUGCUGGUUCUCUUUCUUGUUCUUAUGAUUGCUCUUGCUUUCAGUUUUAUAGAGGAAAUAUAAUGCUUCAGACUGGCUUAUUCUAUUGAACUUCUAAAUUUGCCUUCUCCCACUGUCAACAAGCAUGAGCUUGGAACCUGCCCUUGGGUGUCAUUCCCAGGGCUGCAAAUUUUCCCUGGGCAUAGCAGUGAGGAAAUCUCAGCUUGCAGUAUGUGCAUCUCCCCUCAUCAAACUGAAAGCCAGGCCAGUUCACUAGACAUUAAAAAAAAUCUAGAUUUUCUGAAAUCUUGCAAGACAUUUGGAUAAAACUGGAGGCAUGGAGUGACUAAUAAAACUGGAUGAAAAGAAAGUGUAUAAAUUUUAUUAUCCAACAGCAAAUUUCAUGAAAAGGAUCUGAGGGAUUAUCUGAAUGUGAAGCUUAAGCUUAAACUUGUGGAUUGUGAGCAAAUAAAAGCAACCAAACGCACACAAAAAAGUGGGAUUGUACACUUGGGGUGGAGUGAGCUGCUUCAGUCCCUUAUGGCAUUUCAUAUCAAGAGGGUUUGUUCUCUGUGGCAGUGGGGCAGCAGCUGCCAUCUCACUGCAGAGCACAACAGAUGGUGAAGAGGAAAACUCUGCUCUGCUUUUGAUGAGUUUCUGGGCUUUCUUCUUUUAGCUAUUUACAUGGCAUGAGAGAUAAAACAGCCCAGUGAAAGGGCAGCAUUUCUAUCUACCAUUUUGUAGAUAGAAAUGCCAUCUUUACCACAAGACUGUAACUCAUCUUUUGUUGAAAACGCAGGUGAAGGACAAGAGGUGAUUUAUUUUGGUGAAGUCAAAGGGGAACUGUAACUUCCUGCAGCAGGAAACCACCAUCUACAGAAAGAAGCAACAGCUGAGCUGGAGCUGGGACUAUGGAUGCUCAGAAGCAGCAGGAGGUUGACAAGGGAGGGAACAAGGCUGAUCUAAGAUUUCCCUGUUCUCAUUCCUUUCCCCUUUAAUUCCUUCUCUCUGUGACCAGUAAUUUUAUCUUCUUUUGGAUUGGUGUAAUACCCACACUGCCAGGCAGGUAUCUUUCUGAUAUGAAUUAUUUUAGCUCCGUUUUGAAGAUGGCACUGAAUUCAUCCAUGAUUUCAGGUUACUUAGGAAUAAUAAAAAAAAAGGCAUCUCCACUGUGUGUGGCUUGGCUGUGGUGCCCCUGGGGCAUCAUCCCCUGUGUGCUGAGUCUGCCCAUCUGCAGGGCUGUGCAGCAUGGCCGGGAGUGGGCAGUUGUGCUCUGCCUCUCCUUGGCAACAGCUGGGCUUACUGGGGGGCUGCUGAUUGCUCUCAAAUCCUGACAGGGCAGGUGCUGGUGGUAGAAGACAAAAGAAGAAGAAGAGGAGGGAUGCUUUGCCAAAAAGAAGAUAGUUAAUGUUUAGCUACACAAAAUCAUCUGCCUCACACAUUCAAGUAAGAAGUCCACAGUUUUCCUGAAAAUGCUGUUGCCAAGAAGGGGAGAGGCUGCUUAAAGCCUGUUUUUUUCUUUUUGGCUGCAGAAUGAACAUUCCCCAUUGCCUCUUGGAAGUACUCCUUACCUGACCCUAAGGAGAAAUAUUUAUUUCUCUUUGCCCUGGACCAGCACAUGUGGCAGUUAUUUUUGCAGCCCUUUCCAAAAUUUCCUUGGAUGAAGCAGGACUUGACCCUAACUCAGGAAUGGAUCAGCACUUUUUAGACCUGUUCUU